rnacentral:rRNA from 1 species
CCUACGGGUGGCAGCAGUGAGGAAUAUUGGUCAAUGGACGAGAGUCUGAACCAGCCAAGUAGCGUGAAGGAUGACUGCCCUAUGGGUUGUAAACUUCUUUUAUAAGGGAAUAAAACGAGGCACGUGUGCCUUUUUGCAUGUACUUUAUGCAUAAGGAUCGGCUAACUCCGUGCCAGCAGCCGCGGUAAUACGGAGGAUCCGAGCGUUAUCCGGAUUUAUUGGGUUUAAAGGGAGCGUAGAUGGGUUUUUAAGUCAGUUGUGAAAGUUUGCGGCUCAACCGUAAAAUUGCAAUUGAUACUGGCAGUCUUGAGUACAGUUGAGGUAGGCGGAAUGCGUGGUGUAGCGGUGAAAUGCUUAGAUAUCACGAAGAACCCCGAUUGCGAAGGCAGCUUACUAAACUGUGACUGACAUUGAUGCGCGAAAGUGUGGGGAUCAAACAGGAUUAGAUACCCCGGUAGUC